GACGAACGCUGGCGGCGUGCCUAAUACAUGCAAGUAGAACGCUGCAGGAGGAGCUUGCUUCUCCGGAUGAGUUGCGAACGGGUGAGUAACGCGUAGGUAACCUGCCUGGUAGCGGGGGAUAACUAUUGGCAACGAUAGCUAAUACCGCAUAAGAGUAGAUGUCGCAUGACAUUUGCUUAAAAGGUGCAACUGCACCACUACCAGAUGGACCUGCGUUGUAUUAGCUAGUUGGUGAGGUAACGGCUCACCAAGGCAACGAUACAUAGCCGACCUGAGAGGGUGAUCGGCCACACUGGGACUGAGACACGGCCCAGACUCCUACGGGAGGCAGCAGUAGGGAAUCUUCGGCAAUGGACGGAAGUCUGACCGAGCAACGCCGCGUGAGUGAAGAAGGUUUUCGGAUCGUAAAGCUCUGUUGUAAGAGAAGAACGAGUGUGAGAGUGGAAAGUUCACACUGUGACGGUAUCUUACCAGAAAGGGACGGCUAACUACGUG
rnacentral:rRNA from 1 species